rnacentral:lncRNA from 1 species
AGGAAUAUUGCUGAAGAUAUUACUCACCACAGCAAGCAGUGUCUCCUUCAUGCAGGCCUAGGGGAGUAAUUUUUCUUUGGCCUCGGGGCCUAAGUUGAAUUUCUUCUGAGCAACUGGAACAUUUUGAUUCUAUGGGCAUUGGGGACAUUAUAAUUGGUUGUGAUUCCUCUUUUGAUUUGGCUGUGUAUCAACCGACAACGCUUUCAGCCACAAUUACUUAAAAUAUCUUAAGUAGCUUUUUUUUUUUCUUUGCACAUAGCAAGCAGCCUGAAGGUAAGUGACUGCUAGGAUUGCUUCAGCGUCUCAUCUGGUGACCAGUGUCUCUGAAUUUCCUUCAGACACAGGGUGGCUGCUGCAGCUUUGACUGUGGUUCUCAAACUUUGGUGUGUAUUGGAAUCAGCUGGAGAGCGGAAAGCACAGCCCAGGCUCCUUGAAGAACACAGCCCAGGCCUUUUAUAGGGUCACCACGUUCCUCAGGUGAUUCCAGUGUUGGCCAAACUUGAGAACCGCUGCUCUAGCGUCUGCCGCUCAAGACCAGAAGGGAGAAACAAGUCCAGCAGGGAAUGGAGCAUUGUGGAGGAAGCCUGUCUGCAAUCCUCCGAAGCAUGGAAUUAGAUCAUCAUUAUCUACUCAAAGAGCUCCUUGGCAUGGGAUAGCAGCCAGGCCUGAAAUUGCUUCGCCUGCCCCCGCAUCCUCCUUGAGUUUCUCCAACUGGUAUGUCACAUGUGCUUAGCUCCAUGAUGAAGGAUGCUGGUGUGUUCUGUGGAAUACUCUCAUCUUCACGUUUGGAAGCAUUGAGAACUGACGCAGGUUCCAGUCUGACCUUGUGGGUUCCAGCUGGUCCCUGCUUUUCCUCCCUCUCUGACCAUCUUGCCUUCAGACAGUUUGCCCUCUGGAUUUCAAGCUCUAGGAUCAGAUGCGAAGACAAUAGCCUUAAUGAGACUGCUUAAUUGCGUAAGGUGAAAUCCUUGUAACAAAUACCUUACACACGCACACACGCACACACACACUAUGCUAUAUGUAAGUGUGUAUAUAUGUUAUACCUCCUAGUGGUUGUACAUCUGCAAUUGAGCCCUGAUUGCUAUAGCUAGUCUAUAAGGCUUUGGAAGUAAAUGGCUUAAGACUGCUUAUCUUUCUGUGUGUGUCUGUGAGUGUGUGUGUGUGUGUGUGUGUGUAUACAUGGAUAUGACUGCCAUAAAGGCACUAUUGAUUAGGUUAAUGCUAGCAACUGGAACUAACAGAUCCUUAACUCUAAGCAAUUUAACACAAUAGAUACCUUUUUCUUGCUCUAUGAAAUCUAGUGUGUGUAUUCCCGCUUGGUAGAGAGAGAACAUAUUCCUUUUCUGUACCUACUGUUCCUGGCUCUUAGUUAAUAUCAGCCCUGAGGUUGGUUCCCCUACAGUGAACCCAGCACGUAAGGGUUAAAACUAAAGGUGCACAUUCCCAGGUCCCUGGGUCUUUAGUUACACUCAUAUGUAAAUGUUUGUUUCUUUAACCUCUGCCUCCCUGAGCUUUACAACCAAAUAGAAGUUACAAAUUGUUAAAGUCCAGGUGACUUCACGCUGGGCUCCCACUAAAGUUGUGGCUAAUCACAGGACCUUGAAGUUCUCUUACAGAGAAACUAAUGUCCACAGAAUAUCAAGAAACCGAAGCUUCCCAGGGCCAACUCCUUGGCUUCCUGACGUCAGAGUGUACCCUCCACCAUGGAGAGAAACAGCCAAGGACACUCACCCAAGAAAUCCUUUGUCUCCUCUGGAAGCAGCCCCAGACACAGGCUGAUGGGAAAAUGCUGACCAAGAAGGCCACUGCCCUUGUCCCCUACCUAAAACCCCCAAUAAAAACUCCUACCCGUUUCUUAACAGGGAGAAAGCAACUUUUUUGGGGCACUGGGCUUUUGCUUUUCUCCCUCUGCCUGGCAAAGUAAAGCCUUUCCUUUUUCUCCCAAGACUCUCGUCUCGUUACUUGGAUUGGCUUUGAGAUCAGAGACUGAACUUUCGGUAACACUAUUUGGAAACCCAGCCCAAGGAGAUUCUGUUAUUUUCAAGAAGUGGUUCCUGAAAUCUCUCUGGGCAACAAAAUUCAGCCAGCAGAUGGAAGAAGUGAGCGGGUAGAAUAAGCUUAUCUACCUUAUGGCCGCCUUGGGUUAGAAGUGACAGUCACCAUUCUGCUUAUCUUCCAUUGCUGAGAACUAGUCCCACAGCACUACUUAGAAGCAAGUGAAAGUGCUGGGAAAUGGAGUCAGUGCUGGGGCAACCCAUUCCCAGCUGCGAUUGCAUUGUGGGAGGGGAGCACGAAUGUUUGGGAGAACAGCUGGCUAUCACUGCCACACGGAGGCUCCUGUUAAAAAUGUUGAUUAAAUCAGAACAACUCAACCAUCCUUGUUUUUUGUUGAAUUUCAGCCUGGCUCCUGGCCUGCUUAGGAAAAAAAAAAGAGAGUCAGUCUGUAGGGAACCAGAGAGGAGGAUCCGGCCAACUUCAGGGUGGCUUGUUCAAUUGUUUCCUGAGGCAAAUGGAAGGCAGCGCAGCUUGCAGCCACUUUAAAAGGCGAUCUGGCCCUUGGGGAUCAAGCUACAAUGGAAAUAUCCAUUUGAAAAUUCUGCACUAACUGCCAACACCAUUAACAUCCCAGUUCCAUCUGAAUGUGUCUGCAAGGUCUCUGGCCAACUCUGGAUGCAACAGCUUCACCACAGUUUGAUCCCUUUGGCUGCUGCAGCCACGGACACUCGUCUGGGGGGAGCAGUUAUGCCCCAGCAUUUGGUGCACCUUCUGGGAUAGAUUGGCUGUCUGGGCUUACAGGCCUGUCUCCUUCUUUCCCUCCAGAUUUGACAGUCUUUGUGCAGAACUUGAAGUCAACUUCUACUUGAAAUCCCAUUCUGUAUUCUUCAAUUAUGUUUUAUAUUAAGUAUUUUCAGUUCUCUAUAUAAAUGUUAUUGUAGAUUUGCAAUUUAGAAAGAAAUCAACAACUAAUUAGAACUCACAUAUGUUUCUGUUUUUCCUCCAUUUAAUCGUUUGUAUGUAAAAUUGUUUUUCAUUUUUUUCCUGAUCUGAUUUCCUAUUUUGGCGUUUCCCCCUUAUGUUUUUUUCAUGGACUGGGAUUUUGUGAUCUAAUACAAAUCAUGGAAUUAUCAUAGAGGCAAAAUUUAUUGAGGGCUGUAUGUAAUUCAAGCUGUACAUCUGCUGAAAAUCUCUUUCUGCUAAAAAUAGCACACGUGAUAAAUUCUUCACUUACUUUAUUAACAGUUUUCUCUCUCCUAAGAAAGAAGAAGCAACCAGAACUACCAUUUU